CAUCCCUAGUAGCGGCGAGCGAGCGGGAAGAGCUCAAAUUUAUAAUCUGGCACCUUCGGUGUCCGAGUUGUAAUCUCUAGAAGUGUUUUCCGCGUUGGACCGCACACAAGUCUGUUGGAAUACAGCGGCAUAGUGGUGAAACCCCCGUAUAUGGUGCGGACGCCCAGCGCUUUGUGAUACACUUUCAAUGAGUCGAGUUGUUUGGGAAUGCAGCUCAAAUUGGGUGGUAAAUUCCAUCUAAAGCUAAAUAUUGGCGAGAGACCGAUAGCGAACAAGUACCGUGAGGGAAAGAUGAAAAGCACUUUGGAAAGAGAGUUAACAGUACGUGAAAUUGUUGGAAGGGAAACGCUUGAAGUCAGACUUGCUUGCCGGAGCUUGCUUCGGUUUGCAGGCCAGCAUCAGUUUUCCGGGGUGGAUAAUGACGGUUUGAAGGUAGCAGUCUCGGCUGUGUUAUAGCUUUCCGUUGGAUACAUCCUGGGGGACUGAGGAACGCAGCGUGCUUUUUGCGAAAGACUCGUCUUUUUCACGCUUAGGAUGCUGGUGGAAUGGCUUUAAACGACCCGUCUUGAACC
rnacentral:rRNA from 1 species